rnacentral:rRNA from 1 species
AGAGUACGUGAAACCGUUCAGGGGUAAACCUGAGAAACCCAAAAGAUCGAAUGGGGAGAUUCAUCGUCAACGGUGCUGGCUCCCGUUUGUGCGCGAUGCUCCGAGUGGGCCCUCGUGGUUCCAUGGCGAGGGCACGCCACUUUCGGCUUGAACGUUCCGGCACCGUAGUCGUGCACUUCUCCCCUAGUAGAACGUCGCGACCCGUUGCGUGUCGGUCUACGGCCCGAGCGGGCGCCUGUCGCGGCGCAUUACGCGCACGCGGCAGACCCUCGGUUGCCCGGCCGGCUGCGCGACGGUACUCACACGGUAUCGGGCCGCAACCAAUCCAUUCUCGAAUGUGUGUGCGUCAGGCCCGCCGCAAGCUAGGGCAGUUUUACCCGGAGGUACGGACCUGGUGCCGUCCCCGGGCCUGACCAGCUGUUAGCAGGCGGUGUCCUCGGACUGGCCAAGCUUCGAAUUACCGGUCGGCGACGCUCCUGCUUUGGGUACUCUCAGGACCCGUCUUGAAACACGGACCAAGGAGUCUAACAUGUGCGCGAGUCAUUGGGAUGCAUAAACCUAAAGGCGCAAUGAAAGUGAAGGUCGGCCUAUGCGUCGACCUAGGGAGGAUGGGCCGCGUUACGAUGCGGCCCCGCACUCCCGGGGCGUUUCGUUCUCAUUGCGAGAAGAGGCGCACCUAGAGCGUACACGUUGGGACCCGAAAGAUGGUGAACUAUGCCUGGUCAGGACGAAGUCAGGGGAAACCCUGAUGGAGGUCCGUAGCGAUUCUGACGUGCAAAUCGAUCGUCGGAACUGGGUAUAGGGGCGAAAGACUAAUCGAACCAUCUAGUAGCUGGUUCCCUCCGAAGUUUCCCUCAGGAUAGCUGGCACUCGCUCGUUCCUCCGUGAACGCGUGCGAGUCUCAUCUGGUAAAGCGAAUGAUUAGAGGCCUUGGGGCCGAAACGACCUCAACCUAUUCUCAAACUUUAAAUGGGUGAGAUCUCUGGCUUGCUUGGAUUAUGAAGCCACGAGAUUUUGGAUCAGAGUGCCAAGUGGGCCAAUUUUGGUAAGCAGAACUGGCGCUGUGGGAUGAACCAAACGCAGAGUUAAGGCGCCUAAGUCGACGCUUAUGGGAUACCAUGAAAGGCGUUGGUUGCUUAAGACAGCAGGACGGUGGCCAUGGAAGUCGGAAUCCGCUAAGGAGUGUGUAACAA